AAUCAACGCUGGCGGCGCGCUUAACACAUGCAAGUCGCACGAGAAAGGGAGCAAUCCUGAGUAAAGUGGCGUACGGGUGAGUAACACGUGGGAAUCUACCUCUUGGCGGGGAAUAACCCUGGGAAACCGGGGCUAAUACUGCAUAAGCUCGUGAGAGGAAAGCAGCAAUGCACCGAGAGAGGAGCCCGCGGCCGAUUAGCUAGUUGGUGGGGUAAUGGCUCACCAAGGCGAAGAUCGGUAGCCUGCCUGAGAGGGCACACGGCCACACUGGCACUGAGACACGGGCCAGACUCCUACGGGAGGCAGCAGUGGGGGAUCUUGCACAAUGGGGGAAACCAUGAUGCAGCGACGCCGCGUGAGCGAUGAAGCCCUUCGGGGUGUAAAGCUCUUUCGACAGGAACGAUAAUGACGGUACCUGGAGAAGAAGCUGCGGCUAACUACGUG
rnacentral:rRNA from 1 species